UACGGGGGGGGCAAGCGUUGUUCGGAAUUACUGGGCGUAAAGGGCUCGUAGGCGGCCAACUAAGUCGGACGUGAAAUCCCCAGGCUCAACCUGGGAACUGCGUCCGAUACUGGAUGGCUUGAAUUCAGGAGAGGGAUGCAGAAUUCCAGGUGUAGCGGUGAAAUGCGUAGAUAUCUGGAGGAAUACCGGUGGCGAAGGCGGCAUCCUGGACCGACAUUGACGCUGAUGAGCGAAAGCUAGGGGAGCAAACGGG
rnacentral:rRNA from 1 species